ncrna:unclassified sequences Actino-pnp RNA
GAUGGUCCUCGGUAGUGGUUUCCGCGCUUGAAUACUUGCGCGUGAACUUCGAUCGAAGAUUCAUU